GGUGAACUGCAAUAUUUUUGGUCUUUAGUUGAAUUUUGAAACAUGCCUUUGUGAGUUUUGCCUUCAAGCGAAGAAAUUUCUGUGAAAUAUUUGCAGGAAUAAAAAUGUUUUGCCACAAAGUACAGAUUCGCGUUUGAUGAUGUAGUGUUUUGGAAAACAAACUUUUUAGAAUUUGAAAAAGUUGCACCGCACACGUCGGCAUGCGAAGCGGUAGUUGGUUUCGAGAAUAGUCGUCUGCCAUUUAUUACAGUAUUCAGAUUUAUAUACCACUGGAGCAAGUAUAAAUAAUUGCACGCUGGAGUUCAAAUUCGUAAAUUCGCAAAAACAGAUUUCUUUGCUUGAGAGACUUUGGGAGAAGAACAGCGCCAAAACAAACUUUACAGAAAGAUUUGGAGAGGAAUUGAAUGGAUUUUCAAGAUAGACUAACGGAAUACGAAAGGAAGAGAAGCAUGUUCUAAGGCAGCCCUUUAGAAGGAUAAAGAUUCUAAGCACACGGCUCUCAAAGUUUGGCUUUUGGAUCCUAUAUGUGCAGAUUUGUUUAAAGUGUAUGCAGACUUUUGUGAGGUGACUUUUCUGUUACUUUAAACUUUUUUAAGGAAUACCAAAAAUAAAAAACUUGUUUAUAAAAAAAUAAUUAAUGUAGUUUUACCAAGAGAACGUUAUAGAUAUGAUUAAAAAGAUCUUCACUCUAAAAUAAUAAUUUUUAUUAAGAAAUAAAGCAGUGUUUCACAGAAACUCUUAAGUGAACGAACACUUUUGUGAGCCACUGUAGGGAGUUCCUAUUUUGCUAAGCUUAUUUGUAAAGUUGAGACUAGAAAAUUACUUGAUGUGCAAAGAAUCUGAAUAUAAGUUAAUGGAAGAAAUUAAUAAAUUAAAAAACAUGUAUGAGAUUUUUUAUCAUAUUUCAAAAACGUCAAUUAUUCCUUUUCAAUGCUUUAGAAUUGAAAAGGAAUAAUUGACUAGGAAAAGGAUAAUAGAAUGCCCAAUUAAAAUGCAAUAUUAGAAAAUUUAUAUAAUAAAAAGAAUAGUCAAUAUAGUUUUUUAUAGUUCUGUAAUUUGUAUGUUACCAUAAAUUAUACUUUUUUUAUAAAUUAUAUGCUGAAUGAAAUUGAAGCGAAAAUUAUGCAGUCAGAAGAAAUGAUAUAAGUUACCUAGUUAUAGUAUAGUUAGAAAUGAUAUACAAGGUGUGUUCGAAAAGUUCAGUGAAUUUUACCAUAAAAAAAAAAGAAACAAGCAAAAUAGCUUUUAGCUUUCAAAGUGUUCGCUAUUAGCAACAACACGCUUUUGACAUCGGGUGUACGAUUGUUGGAAACUGUCUGGAAACGCUUCUUUCGGUAUGGCUCGAAGCACCGUUGUUAGAUCUCAGUAAUGUCAGAAAAGUGUUAGCCUUUCAGAACUCCUUUGAAACAGUAGGUCUGGGGUA